UCUACACAUCUCGGACGUUCUUCUCCUCCACAGCAGCUCCGCUCGCGACGCGGCGGCGGUCACCUCCCGACCAAGAGACGAUAAAUCGGGGAGACGAGAAGAGAAAAUACCACAAGCUAAAUCACCUCACGAAACUCAGAUAUCAAGUUGAAGCCGGCUUCUCCAUAACCAUAAAUGCGGGAGAAGGAUGCCUGCUGGGAGUAUGGCGACAAACUGGAUGGGAACAGGGUCAGGUGCAGAUUCUGCCACAAGGUUAUAAAUGGUGGAAUAAGCAGGUUCAAGUUUCAUCUGUCUCAAAUUCCAAGCAAAGGUGUCAACCCUUGCAUCAGGGUGACUGAUGAUGUCAGGGCAAAGGUGAUUGCUCUCAUAGAAGCCAAGGAAUCACAGAGGGAGCUCGAGCUACUCAAGAGGAAACGUGUAGCUGAAUUGUCGGUGCUU